CGAUGGGCCGACGUCGCAUGCUCCGGCCGCCAUGGCGGCCGCGGGAAUCGAUUAGAGUUUGAUCAUGGAUCAGAUUGAACGCUGGCGGUAUGCCUAACACAUGCAAGUCGAACGAGGGUAGCAAUACUCUAGUGGCGGACGGGUGAGGAAUACGUAGGGAUCUGCCUUUAAGUGGGGGAUAACCCGGGGAACCCGGAUUAAUACCGCAUGAUCUCGCAAGAGCAAAGUGGGGGACCGCAAGGCCUCACGCUUUUAGAGGAACCUACGUCGGAUUAGCUUGUUGGUGAGGUAACGGCUCACCAAGGCGACGAUCCGUAACUGGUCUGAGAGGAUGAUCAGUCACACCGGAACUGAGACACGGUCCGGACUCCUACGGGAGGCAGCAGUGGGGAAUAUUGGACAAUGGGCGAAGCCUGAUCCAGCAAUACCGCGUGUGUGAAGAAGGCCUUCGGGUUGUAAAGCACUUUAAGUUGGGAAGAAAAAACUUUGUUUAAUACGCAAAGUCUUGACGGUACCGACAGAAUAAGCACCGGCUAACUCUGUGCCAGCAGCCGCGGUAAUACAGAGGGUGCUAGCGUUAAUCGGAUUUACUGGGCGUAAAAGCGUGCGUAGGCGGUUUGAUAAGUCGAUUGUGAAAGCCCUGGGCUCAACCUAGGAAUUGCGGUCGAUACUGUCAGACUAGAAAACGGUAGAGGGAGGCGGAACUCCAGGGGUAGCGGUGAAUUGCGUAGAUAUCUGGAAGAACACCGAUGGCGAAGGCAACCUCCUGGGCCGUUUUGGCGCUGAAGC
rnacentral:rRNA from 1 species